CAGCCGCCGCGGGAAUACGUAGGUCCCGAGCGUUAUCCAGAUUUAUUGGGCGUAAAGCGAGCGCAGGCGGUUAGAUAAGUCUGAAGUUAAAGGCUGUGGCUUAACCAUAGUACGCUUUGGAAACUGUUUAACUUGAGUGCAGAAGGGGAGAGUGGAAUUCCAUGUGUAGCGGUGAAAUGCGUAGAUAUAUGGAGGAACACCGGUGGCGAAAGCGGCUCUCUGGUCUGUAACUGACGCUGAGGAGCGAAAGCGUGGGGAGCGAACAGGAUUAGAUACCCCGGUAGUCCCUGUCUCUUAUACC
rnacentral:rRNA from 1 species